UACAGAGGGUGCGAGCGUUGUUCGGAAUUAUUGGGCGUAAAGGGCGCGUAGGCGGCGCCACAAGUCACUUGUGAAAACUCUGGGCUCAACUCAGAGCCUGCAAGCGAAACUGUGGUGCUGGAGUAUGGGAGAGGUGCGUGGAAUUCCCGGUGUAGCGGUGAAAUGCGUAGAGAUCGGCAGGAACACCCAGGGGGAAACCAGCCGGCUGGGGACGUGCUGACGCUCAGGGGCGAAAGCGUGGGGAGCGAACCGG
rnacentral:rRNA from 1 species